UACGAAGGGGGCUAGCGUUGCUCGGAAUCACUGGGCGUAAAGCGCACGUAGGCGGAUUGUUAAGUCAGGGGUGAAAUCCUGGAGCUCAACUCCAGAACUGCCUUUGAUACUGGCGAUCUUGAGUCCGGGAGAGGUGAGUGGAACUGCGAGUGUAGAGGUGAAAUUCGUAGAUAUUCGCAAGAACACCAGUGGCGAAGGCGGCUCACUGGCCCGGUACUGACGCUGGAGGUGCGAAAGCGAUGGGGAG
rnacentral:rRNA from 1 species